rnacentral:misc_RNA from 1 species
GAGAGAAGAGCACGCGGAUAAAUCUUAAUCUUUUUCCGCGUAAAAUGAAAAAAAUUACAUUAACAUUGAAAAUUGAAUUUUUUGAAUUAAAUGGUACAAUUAGUUUUUCCUUCUUUAGCUCUAACUUUCUCUCUUUAUAUGAUAUGAGUAAAAGAAAAUGAGAUAGCUACGGAAUCACUUUACUAAGUUGGAGUUUCUAUGCGGGCUAAGCCUUUCACAAAAGAAAGCAAGUUCCUUUGACUUUACAAAAAGCAAGAGAGAUCCAGAAAGCGAGUAGGUAGGAUAGCUAGCAUUCUUUUCCAGCUCUAUUACCUAG